AAAGAAAAUAUCAGCCUCACGCUCCAACUAUUUGGGAUUAUUUUUUGACCUGAGGGCAGCUGUUAAGUACCUAGCAGAGUCUGAGUCUGUGAAUCUUGCUAAAUUCUCUUUUGAGAAAUACAACCGAUAUAUUGUCUUCCUAACAGAUUCAAUUCCUUUUUGAAGCUCUGCUCUAGGCUGUGGCAGAAGCCAGGUUGCUGCAGAGUGGCUUCAUACCCCUGCCGGAAGCUGACCAAGGGAAGCUGGUAUUUCAGAGGAAGAAAAUAGAUAUCAAGACAGUUUUCUGGAGUUUUCCAAGUCCCAGGCAGCAGUAGCAGAGCCCAAACGAGGAGUGCAAUAAGCCAUGGUAUGAUGUGCCUGCUACUCCUUCGCCUUCCCCCAUAAUUGUGUUUCCUGAGGCCUCCCAGUCAUGCUUCCUGUUAAGCCUGUGGAACUUAUGCAAAUGCUUUGGGCACAACUUCACUAGAACACAAAAUGAAAUGUCAGAUGUUUGCAUCUUAUCAAAAAAUCACGGGGCCGAGACAACUACAGCAGCAGGCAAUACAGGUAAACUAUAUCAACAACUCGAAUGUCUGAUUAGUGUUGCCACUGGUGGUGUGAUUUUAUGAAAUGGUCAACAGUUAUUGGUCAAGUUUUAAAAGAACAAGCAACACAUGAUCUACCAUUGGCUUGCAUGACAGUUGCAUUCCUGGAUGUGCGUGUACAUUAGAACAUAUGAAAGUAUGUUGUGUUUCUAUAGAAAAUAAUUUUUUGGAAAUGAAAAAAAUAUUUUUUUGUUCCUGAAAAAAUGGAUGUUGGCUUAGAUAAUUGAAUGUUUCCCACAUCAGAAAAACAAAAUUCUUGAACUUUUUGAUCUUAGUGUCUCUUUACACUCAAAGAUUGUUGAGAGACCUCUAAGAAGUUUGUUUAUGUGGGUUGUAUUGAUAUUUACUGUACUGGAAA
rnacentral:lncRNA from 13 species